rnacentral:misc_RNA from 1 species
AAGUCGUAACAAGGUUUCCGUAGGUGAACCUGCGGAAGGAUCAUUACAGAGUUCUUGCCCUUACGGGUAGAUCUCCCACCCUUGAAUACAUACCUUUGUUGCUUUGGCGGGCCGCGCUUGCGCUACCGGCUUCGGCUAGUACGUGCCCGCCAGAGAACCACAACUCUUGUUUUUAGUGAUGUCUGAGUACUAUAUAAUAGUUAAAACUUUCAACAACGGAUCUCUUGGUUCUG